UCCACCUUUCGGCACGAAAGCGAGGGAACGGAGAGCCAAAUCCACACGUAACGCCCACUUUCAUCUUCCCUUUGUCCCUCUGAUGCAUCAUUUCCCUACUUUAGAGUCGUGGACGAAGGAAACCAGCACGGUAAGCUGUGUCUCUCCUCUUCCGUAUGGCAGCAUGUAGGAGCUCGUAAGCUGCACGCGAUUCUGUUUGUCUCUUCCCCCAAAUAGUUUCUAGUGACGAUCAGUAGCUUUCUUGGUUGCUUUGAGGAGUUCCACACUCUAUGCGAUAGUUCUUGCUGGGCUAAACUGAAUGGGAAUAGGGAACAAAAUGUGUGGGUUCCAAUUUGUUUCAACCCUCUUAUGGUGUGCCCGUGAGACCAAGAGGGCACACCUUCUUUAUGAGAUAAUGCCAAUGUGGCAUCCUAUCUUUUAUUGGACCACACAGUGCCAACUUGGGGUUGCCAUGUUGUCAUUCUCUCUUCUUUUAUCUCAGCUUGGAGGUUGGAUGCUUAUUAAGCUGUUAAUCCAGAAUUCAUCUGUCAUCCUCGAAUUGAUGCAUUUGAGGAUCAUCUCCAGCAUGAAUCUUGAGGAGCCAAGGGGAGGGAAAGGGAAGAGGAUAGGAUGAUGAUCAAAAUAUCCAAGUAGAGCCAGAUCUUUGUUGGGAGUGUUUCAGAUACCUAAGUCAGAGUGAGUCCUAAAAUAAGAUUUAAAGAUGGUAUGUAGAGAGAUGUGUAUAAUUAUGAGUUUUAGUUUAUAGUCGAGAAUUUCUAACCAUUUAAGAACAGGACUUAUAUUUUUUGAAUAUUUUUCGGUUUCGAUUUGUGCUAAUGUGACAAAUUUGGGUUAUAUUCAUUUUUUUUAAUAGUCAUGCUGUUUUUGACA